rnacentral:misc_RNA from 1 species
UUUCUUGAUUACUUAAUCUAAGAAAGUUGACAAGAUUGAGUAAUUUGCAAAUUUAUUGGGGAAAAUAAAUGACAUUACUCAAAUUUAGACAAUAGAAACCAACAAUUCUGGAUUUAUUUCUACAAGCACUGAAGAUGCUGCUGCAAUAUCCCAUUAUUGACAUUUAUUUAAAAUCAGAAUUGGCUGAAGUUCCAAUUACUGUCAUUUAUUUUAUCUAAAUUUGCAAGACAAAAGUAAGAUGUGAGCCUGAAACCAACACACCGCCUUCACUCCAUAAUGUCCUUGGCAAAGGUAAAUGUGGGAGCGAUAUCCACAGGCACCUGAAUGCUCUCUAAUUUGUACAAUGCAAGUUUUAAUGGCUCCGUUAUUUUACAGUAUUUCUGAAGUAGCAAACUUGCAGCUUCUUUGUCACCUUUUGCCUGUAUAGUUAGAACUUCCCUACUAAGGCUUUCAACUGCCCCUUCAACCUUAGCAAAAUCAACAGAGAAUGUCUCAUCAGGGUGUAAUAUAAAGGCUUCUUUCUCAAAUAACCAGUUGAACUGCAUUGCUUGUCCUUUUCCAUGAGCUUCCUCUAAACCAAAUCGAACAGAGCGAAAGCACCCCGCAAGAAAAGAAACAUACAUAGACUUCACCAAACUCUUUGGAAGCAAAUCCUUGUUGAUUAAAAACUUGAGUGCCCAAAGGCCAACUAUAUCAGCUUUUGCUUCUUCCAAAGCUGAGUGAAGUUCCUGCAACUUCUCUCUCACUGUAGACUUUUGACCGUUUGGAAGUGUUAUAGUAUGAGGACCAAUACCAUGGCAGCAUUCAUGGCAGAUGGUGUGUGUAAAGAAAGAUUCAAAAUCUACAAGUUCCAUUUGCUCUUUAGCAAUACAGACAUCAGCUAUAGGUUGAAGGAUAUGCUUGAACCUGGUUAGGAUAGGACCAUUAUCAUGUCUAAUAUUUAAAAGAUUUCAUGCACGAUUGAUAGAACAUUCUGAAAACCAACAAAACAAAUGAGCUGUAAGAAUAAUAAUAAUAUAAACUUCAAGGAAAGAAAUUGUACUUGGCUUCUGAAACAUUCUUAAGCAUGACCAUUGAAGUUCCACGUUCUUUUACUAUAUGCUCAUCAUUGGGUAAAUUGAAAGCAAUAGUCUGAGGACCUUUCACGUCCUGAUGUAGAAUGUAAACCUAUUAGCCUCAAUUUCUUACCCAGAUGAAGGAUUAAAUACAAUGGAAUGGUAGGUAUAAGGUAUCAACUGCAAGCACUUCAUCAUUGGAUAAUUGGAAAUACUGGUGUAAAACAUUAAACUAUUUAUAGAAGAAGCUAAGGAGUAUACUUCCCAUUGCACAUGCACCCCAAUCCCCAAAACUAAGCUGUCAAAAAUAUAUUUAAGUUCUAGUAUAUGAUUCCUUCAACUGACCCCUGCAUUAUAGAUAAGUCGGAUGACACGAAUAGGAGCAGCUUUAACAUCUGUUGAUUUGUAAGUAUCGUCCAUUGGAAGAUGUUGUUCCAAAACCUGCAAAUUAUUGCCAAAGAGUUUAAGUUGAGCUGUUGCUUCAUCAUCCCGGACUCCAAUGACAGCUUCAAAUGUAGCCUUGUAUCCAAAAAGUUCAUCUUCAUAUGUCUCGUAUGGACCUAUAGUCACAUCCAGCUUAGAGUCCAAUUCCAUCCAAGCUAUAUCUGAGUCAUAAUAGUCAUUCGAUAGGAAUGCAGCAGCUUUGCUAUGUAGUAACCUCUUUAAACUGGGUGAGCUAGCCAAGUCACCAGCUUUAUGCAAUAGAUCAGCAGCUCUUGUGAUCAGAGAAUUAUACUCUUUAUAGUAGGGAAUGCUAAAUAGAUCAUGAACACCAAUUGAGCGAUCUCUACAAUCAACUGUAUGAUUUGGCAGAGAAGAGUCCAAAUCAAAUUCACUGUGCCUUCUGAUAACAGUAAAAAAACCUGUUGCGUCACGUUUUCGACUCUCUGUCAGAGUGUCCUUCCACAAUUCAAAUUCCUUUUUAUCCAUGUCUGGAGGAUAAAAAUUUGCACCAGGUGGUUUUAGCAUGGGAAAUGCUGCUUUAUAUUCCAGACCCUUCCAUCCACUAAUGGGCUUGGUGGCUUCAGGAAGCAACUGUACGGCUGAAUCUGCUGUUGUCAAAAAUGGCUUAUUUUCAUCAAGGCAGGACCAUGGACUCUUAUUAAUCGAAUAAUACAUCCAUUUGAGCUUAUCCAAUUCUGAUGCAUCAGCAUGCUCUUUCAACCAAUCCCUUAGAGCUGGAUUGCUGUACCAAACCUGCAGGUAAAAGAUUUCAUCCACAAUUCUUGCAGCCUUGACAAGUAAACCCAAUGCUUUGCUGUCUCCAUCUGAUAGGCCAGUUAACUCUGCAUUGAGAGGAACUGGAACAUAUCGACAGAGCUGCUUUUGUAGAGUCAUGCUGCGUGCUACACUGUUCUCAUUAUACCGUUGCUUAAUUAUGUCAAAGAGUUGACCAUAUUCUCCAGUUACAUCAUAAGGGACAUAAUCAGGAUGUUCUUUGGCAAGUAAGCUUCUAUAUUCCUCAUAGGAAAUAUAUUUGACAGCAGAUACUUCUGAUUCCUGAAGAGUGAAUGCCUCCAGAGGAAUUGGAUCUACAGUUGUUACAAGAUAUACAUCAUUAUAUUCAUUAUUGAUAUAUUUGCCAUCAUUUAUGAUGCACUCUUGAAGAAAAACAAAUAUCAACUCAAAGGCAUCCUUUGGAAGGACAAUUCCCAGCUCUUCAUGAAGCUCCCUCCUGGCAGAUACAAGUGAGGAAUCACCAGCAGAAAUAUGGCCAGCACUGGAGAUAUCCCAAAGCCCUGGCCAUGAAUCCUUACAGUCAGCUCGGCGUUGGAGAAGAAGCUCCUGCGUAGUCUCAGCAAAAAUCCAAACGUGAACAGCUCGGUGAUAAUCUCCAUCUCGAUGAACCUCUCCCCUGGGCUUGGAAAUGCCAGUUUUUUUACCGGUUUCAGUGAGAACGUCGAGGCGCUCUUCAGUCUCUGCCAUUUCUUCUCUUCUUCUUCUUCUUCUCCGCUCUAGAGAGUUAGCAAAGGAAUUUUGAAAUCAAGAAGUAGCCGUUGCUCGUUUAAAUAAAUGGUAGCUGUUGCUAGUUUGAAUUUCCCUAAAGGCUGUCUGUGUUGGACCUUUCGCGCAUGGAUUUGAGCCAAACAAAAGCCUGAGGAGAGGCCUCGUACUUAUCACCAUAGCAAGAGCUUAAGUUUGUCCACCACUUUCGUUCUGUAACAAUAGCACAAGCCCAAAAAAGUCCAUGGAAACAGAAGUGGGUCCUGUCUCCUGAGGCUAGGGGUCUGAGAACGGAAUUACUGUCUUCCACUGUCCUCAUCUGAACGUCCUGCUUCUUCGACAUCAACAGUGAAGCUAUGUUCUUGGUCAGCACAUAUGGUUUUCCCACUCCCAGUGGGUGCAGCAACCAUUACAUUGUCAUCUGUAUUAUACAAAACAGUAGAGACCUGAGUUUGG